rnacentral:misc_RNA from 1 species
GAAAUGCGAUACUUGGUGUGAAUUGCAGAAUCCCGUGAACCAUCGAGUCUUUGAACGCAAGUUGCGCCCGAAGCCUUUUGGUCGAGGGCACGUCUGCCUGGGUGUCACGCAUCGCGUCUCCCCUAACCCGCCUCGUGUGGGACUAGGGGAGGAGGAUGGCUUCCCGCGCCUCACCGGGCGUGGCUGGCCUAAAAAAGGAGCCUCAGGUUAUGCACUGCUGCGGCAAUUGGUGGUAGACAAGGCCUUGGCCUCGAAUGCAAUCUAGUGUCGAGCAGUACAUGGCAUUGUGGGCUCGUAGGACCCUGAGUUGCUCCCAAUUGGAAACAAAUCGUUACAACCCCAGGUCAGGCGGGGCUACCCGCUGAGUUUAA